GCUAGCAGCUAGCAGCUAGCAGCUAGCAGCUAGCAGCUAGCAAUCAGAGCGGUAACGUACUCCUAAACGUGAACAUGGCCGAAGGGAAACGAGCCAAGACCUACCAUUUUCACCCUGAAUGGGAGGAUGAUUUUUUUUUUUUUUUUUGCUUACUCUCAUUCAGAUUUACGGAGCUGUUGCCUGAAAUCAAGGACUUCCUGAAGCUUUCAAAACGUGGAUUACCAUAGAAAGCUAGAGGACCACCUGUGGCUUUUAGAUUCAUCUUCCCUCACUGAUCUGACUGGCGAGUUCAAUGAAUUGAAUUUAGAGCUGCAGGGUAAAGAUGUAGUCAAUGUGAUGAGUUCAGUGAACACGUUUAAAAGCAAGCUACAGCUGAUGUCCAGCAGGCUGCAGCGUGGUAACCUGCACAACUUCCCUCACAUGCAAGCAGAACUACAACGUCAAGGUAAAGGUGUGACACAGCUUGACAGUGCACGUUAUGAAGAGCGUGUUCAGAGCAUCUCCUCAGAGUUUGAGAGACGUUUUACUGACUUUGCAUCCAUCGAGCCUGUAGCCAGCUAUAUGUGUUAUCCAUUUGGUGCAAGUAUUGAUGUUGGUGACAUUACUGCCAAAGUCAAAUCACUUUUUGACUUGGAAAGCUCCGCUCUUGAGGACGAGAGUCUGACAAAGCCAGAUCAACAUCUGCUCAACCUGGAGAGCAUGUGGUGUUCUGGAAACUACUGGUGGAGGAGAAGUAUCCCAAUCUCAGAAGAUGUGCCUUGAACCUGACAGCUUUUUUUGGAUCAACGUAUUUGUGUGAGUCUGCUUUCUCACACAUGACGAUCAUCAAGUUCAAGCACAGAUCAACAAUGACAGAUGACCACCUUGCAGCCUGCAUACGCCUUGCAACCAGCUCCUGCACUCCUGACUAUGAGAAGCUAGCCUCCUCCUCCUAGUGCCAGGUCUCCCACUAAGGGUUCGGAGGGCAGCCAAGGCAAGUCAACCACAGAACAGAAUGUUCAGCGACGGGCUGCAGAAACAUGAUUACCUUCACCUCCAAAGGAAGAAGAGACAGAGUGGCUUUUAUUUUACUCAGGUGCCAAAAAAAAAAAAAACACUCCCUCCACUCUUCCCUCUUCCUUUACCUGCUCCCCUCUUCCGCUCAACAUCUGUCCCUUGGUGACAAGCUCACUUCAAACUGCUCAGUGCAACCUGUCUCAUCUCAGCACACACAUCUGAAGAGCUAAAAGCCUCAAUAUGGUCAGAUUCCAUUUUGAAAAUAAUAGCAAUUUCACAACAACCCUUCCAUUACCACACAUUUGUCAAGAGGGAGAUACUGGAAAGGCAGAAGGAACACAAGAGAGAGAAGGCAUCUCCAGGGAAAUCCCUUCACAAGCAGAAAAUGAGACAUGAAUUGGAAUACCUUCCAUUACUCCCAUAAUUUGCAGCUGGAAGAAAAUACAUCAAGGAAGGCAUUAUAAUUCAAAGAGAGGCGAGCAGUGGCUUAGCGAAGAAAGUUUCACUGAAAGCAGAGAAGGGAGCCAGAAAUGGCACAUAAAGUGCAAGUAAUGAUGGUUUCUUUUAUGCCGCUGUUUAAAUUUAAAAUUUAAAGAGAUUUUAUGAAAAUUUAAGCUUAAAAUUUCCUUCUCACUGUUGAAUACAGCUACUCGAAAGAAGGGACAAGAGAUAGAAGAUCAAAGUGAUCCCGAACGCAUGACAUUAUCUAGGCUGAGCCCUUGAGCAACUUCAGUUCUCCAGCCCUCCGUGUUUUGCUUAUAAAAGCGUUUGGCACUUUCUUAUGAUGUUAUAUGAGGAUAUAUCACAAUCACAUGGCUGAAAUGAUACAGAAAUUGAACAUAUGUGACAACGGCAAAGAAAUUGUCAGCAAUCUUUAAAACUGCAGUUUUUAGCCCAGCUCCAUUCAACCUUCACAAAUAGGAUCAAGGACCUUGUCAUUAACGUAAUGAUCAGUGUUUUUCUCCUUCAGAGCAGCUUUCGUCAAUCAACUUUUCAAUCAGCAGCGACUUUUCCAACUGACCUUUGAGCCAGACACUAUGGUUGAGGUUACAAGCCAAAUGCGAAGCUUCUUGCUAAGUCCUGCCACUUCCAGAGUCUCGUGUAUUCAAGGACGUCUCUGACACGCAUAACGAGAAAAAGGACACAAAGUUUAAGCUGCGAGGACGGUUAAUUCUCGCCACUGUCGGGCGACAUUCAUGCAGCUGAUAAGCGGCGUGAUGUGGUCCACUGAGGGGUCUGCCUGGGAGAUAAAGACCUUGCGCUCUGCAGUCCAUCUGACUGUUCCCCGUGGUGUUGUGAUAAGAAUAUUUUUGGUGGUUAUUUUUCAAGCUUUUCCUCCCCUUCGUCACUGACAGAAUGCAAAAGUGCUUCAUUUUCUGAAGUGAUAUCUGUCCUGGGAUCAGGACGGAGCGUUUGGUGAGACGAUAAGGUCAAGUGAAGAGGGAGGUGAUGGAAUGACUUUAGUUUAACAAGCACAGCUAAUGCUUUAAACUGAAUUUUAAUAGCAUCUGUUCAACAAAAAAAAAAAAACUCCAGCUAAAUUUCAUCACCCAACAUGCACCAUUCAUGUCCUGACAAUCUAAGCAAACAAUCCACCCUAUGUGAUCACAGUUGUAGAGAUAAUAAAGCUGGAUAUGCGUGAUUACCCACAUAAUGCGCUGCUACUUCAGGAAAAUGUGAAAUGGCUCAUGACUCGCUUUACCUGUUUGGGUGUACAAAGCAGCAGCGCAGGAAUAUCCAUCAAAGCAGGAUAAAGCCCUAAAUUAUACAGAGACUCAGACAAGAGCAUCUGUCUGACCUUCUGGAGUCUUUUAUGACUUCAAGCAGCAUCAAAGGUCAGAGCAAAGAUAGAAGCAAAUUGCACAAAGAACCUCCCUCUCAACAAACAUGAAAUGCACAGAUAAAAGAUGCACACUGGCUCUGCACACACACAGAGAGACACACACACACCCUCACAUUCACACACACCCCUCCCCACCCAAAACAUCUCAGCUCCUGUUAGCAGUUCUCAGGAUCCUCAGUUAAUAAUUAGAUGAUAAUGAAAAAGGUUUAAGACGAAGCACCCUUUUCACUCUCUGAGUGGAUUAGCAUGAGUGCUAUGCUAAUGUUUUCCCUUCCUUCCACACAGAAGCUGCAGAUGAGCAAAGGGGGAAAGAGAAAAAGCACAAAAGCAAAAAAAAGUAGAAGGUUAAUUUAGGAAUAAAUAAAUGCUUAACAAAGAACAAUUAGUCAUUAUGGAAGAGGGGAAACAGAGUCUCUAUUUGAACGAGAAUGACAUCGUCUGUGAAUAACAAUCCACUUGCUGUAUAAUUAAUUGUAUAUUAUCUAUGGCUUUUAUACCGUCUUCAAAGUAGGUUCUGCAGGAACCUGUCUAAGUAAUGGAGACCAGACAAGUCAUCUUAUAUACAGACAGAAUUAGACAGCAGUGCUGCUGCAGCUGCUGGAUUCAUCUCCACACACACACACACACACACACACACACACACACACACACACACACACACACACACACACACACACACACACACACACACACACACACACACACACACACACACACACACA